GGGUGUUGGGCGUCUUGUGGCUGCGGCCACUCGCCUGAAAAGCAUCGGCGCCGGCGCGUCGGCCCUGCGCGUAGCACAUUGUUCGCGCCUGGGACCCCGUCGCGGCGGCUGCCCCCAAAGCACCUAUUUUUCAAUGACUUGACCUCGGAUCAGGUAGGGAUACCCGCUGAACUUAAGCAUAUCAAUAAGCGGAGGAAAAGAAACCAACAGGGAUUGCCCCAGUAACGGCGAGUGAAGCGGCAACAGCUCAAAUUUGAAAGCUGGCUCUCCCCCGCGGGGGCCCGCGUUGUAAUUUGCAGAGAGCACUUCGGCGGCGGCGCUGGCCUAAGUUCCUUGGAACAGGGCGUCAGAGAGGGUGAGAACCCCGUUCGCGGCCGGGCGGCCGCCGCCAUGUGAAGGCUCUUCGACGAGUCGAGUUGUUUGGGAAUGCAGCUCUAAAUGGGAGGUAUAUUUCUUCUAAAGCUAAAUACCGGCCAGAGACCGAUAGCGCACAAGUAGAGUGAUCGAAAGAUGAAAAGCACUUUGGAAAGAGAGUCAAACAGCACGUGAAAUUGUUGAAAGGGAAGCGCUUGCAACCAGACGUGCCCGCGGGCGCUCAGCCGGGCCUUGUGCCCGGCGCGCUCGCUCGCGGAGCAGGCCAGCAUCGGUUGGGGCGGCUGGACAAAGGCGCCGGGAACGUGGCCCUCCUCCGGGAGGGUGUUAUAGCCCGGCGUGCCAUGCAGCCAGCCCCGACCGAGGUCCGCGCU
rnacentral:rRNA from 1 species